rnacentral:rRNA from 1 species
AACGAACGCUGGCGGCGUGCCUAACACAUGCAAGUCGAGCGAGAAGGUGUAGCAAUACACUUGUAAAGCGGCGAACGGGUGAGGAAUGCAUGGGUAACCUACCCUCGAGUGGGGAAUAACUAGCCGAAAGGUUAGCUAAUACCGCAUACGUUUCCGGAACUUCGGUUUCGGAAAGAAAGCAAUACCGUGGGUAUUGCGCUCCUGGAUGGGCUCAUGUCCUAUCAGCUUGUUGGUGAGGUAACGGCUCACCAAGGCUUCGACGGGUAGCUGGUCUGAGAGGACGAUCAGCACACUGGCACUGCGACACGGGCCAGACUCCUACGGGAGGCAGCAGUAAGGAAUAUU